rnacentral:lncRNA from 1 species
GGCUGUCUUGAUGGUCCCGACACUGGGGAAUGGUGGGUCCCCUUGCGGUUGGGUGACCAGGGCAGGCAGGGAAACACAUGUGGUUACGCAGCCACACCUGUGUUCCAGACCGUACAGCCAACCCCACCCAGCGACCAGACUCCUGCUGGCAUCGGGGACGCUGAGAGGUUCGGGUGGGUCCCCGAGCAGGGGCAAGUUUAUGUGAAAACCACCAGCUCUCCUGAGGUGGGUUCUACCUGGAGUCAGGACACGUGAGGGUUUUCGUUAAUGUUUUCUUGUGAAAAAUUUCAAACAUUAAAAGCCGGAGAGAGCAUUUAAUGAACCCCGAGUACCCACUACUCAGUUGCAACAAUUAUUAGCUUUGUCCAUCUCGUUUCAUCUGUCCCCUCUUUUUUUUUUUUUUUUGCCAGGGUAGUUGAAAACAAAUCCCAGAUAUCAGGUGACUUCAUGUGGAAUGACUUCAGUAAGUACCUCUCACUAACUGGCCAUGCCAGGAUCACACCUGAGGAAAUUAACAGUAAUCCCAUGGUGAGCGUCAGCUGACACUCAGUCCCUCUUUAACUGCGCCCCGCCUCCUCCCGUAAAUAUGUAAACCCACACUGCAAGGGUGGAUGGAGGGCCAUGUGGCCGGGCGGCUUCUGUGCUUUAGCUUUGGAGCCUUAAGAGGGUGAGGGUUGAAUACCUGUGGCUUUGGGUGGGUGGUUUGCUUUAUGGGGCCUCUCUUUCUUCCUAUGCCAAAGGUACUGACCUCUCCCAAGGCGGUCAGGAGGACUGAAUGAAAUUGUAUGAGUACAGUACUGGGUACUUGGUAGGGACUCAAUGAAUGGUGGCAGUGCUUACGAUGUUUUCUAUUUUGCAUAUAAGGAAACUGAAGUUCAGAGCAGGAGAGUGACUUGCUCAAGCUCACACAGCUCAGAGUGGUUAAGCUAGGAUGGAAGCGUAGGUCUUCUAAGUGCUCUGGGAUGUGUGUUCAACACAGCCCCCUCACCCCCUCUAAUACUGGCCUUGUCUGCCACCACCCCAUACUACAAAUGGAAAUGACACAGAGGGUGACAUCAACAGGUCCCUUUUUCUCGAUAGCCACUAGAUCAUGGUGCUGUGGGCUGAGCAGAUGAUUGAUAGGACAUCACUGGGCCUGGCUCUCCAGGAGACCUAGAAAAAGAUCUUGCCCCUCUCUGGGCCUCAGUUUCCCUAUCUGUACCACAAGGGCAUUGACCUCCACGUGGUCUUCGAGACCUCUUCCAGUUCUGCUUUGUUUGCACCAGGGUUAGUAACCGUGGGAAUGGGAGAGAUGGAGAUACUUGAGGCUGAUGGGGAGUUGCACAGCCCAAGACCCCAGGCUGCAAGACAGUAUGGGGAUGAGGGCGAUCCUCCCAUAUUGGAGAUCAGGGAUGGGGUGGCCCAGCUAGGUAGAAGUGAAGCUCCCCCACCCCCACUGGAUUGUGAACCUCCUGAAAUUAGGGCUGUGACUUGUACCUUAUAAGUAUCACAUAGAUGAGAAAAAAUUUCAUCGAUGUAAUGGAUGGAACACUAGAUAGGAGAUCAGUAAGGAAAUAGAAGACUUUAAAAACACUGUAAACCAGCUAGACCUAACAGACACUGCUUUCUAACGGCGAUUGAAGAGCACAUUCCACCCAGCAACAGCAGAAUACACAUUCUUCUCAAGUGCACACGGACCAUUCUCUAGCAUAGAUCAUAUCUUAGGCCACAAAUCAAAUCUCAAUAAAUUUAGAAAAAUUGAAAUUACACAAAAUAUGUUCUCUGACAACAGAGUAAUGAAAUUAGAAGGUCAAAAACAGAAGGAAAUUUGAAAAUUCACAAAUAUGUAAAAAUUAAACGACACACUCCUAACCAAAGGGUCAAAAAAUAAAUCAUAAGGGAAAUUAGAAAAUACUUUGAGACGAAUGAAAACAAAAACACAACAUACUAAAACUUACAGGAUGCAGUAAAAGCAGUGCUCAGAGGGAAAUUUAUAGCUGUAAACACCUACCUUAAAAUAGAAGAUCUCAAAUCAAUAACCUUCCACCUUACUAAAAAAAAAAAAAGCAAACUAAAUCCAAAGCAAGCAAAUAAAAAAAUUAGAGCAGAGAUAAAUGAAACAGAGAACAGAAAAACGAUAGAGAAAAAUCAGCAAAACCAAAAGUUGGUUGUCUGAAAUGAUCUACAGAAUUGACAAACCUUUAGCUAAACUGACCGAGAAAAAAAAAAAGAGAGAGAAAACUGAAAUUACUAAAGUCAGGAAUGGAAGUGGAGACCUUGCCACUGACCUUACAGAAAUAAAAAGGAUUAUACAAUUUCACUGAUAGAUUCGAAAGAAACUCCACAACAUUUCUAGAGAUUGGAGAGAACAUCCGGAAAUGGUUACCAGUAGUUGCCUUCAGGGAAACAGGGCUGGGGUGGGUGGAGCUGGGGUGCCUGCUUUUUAUUAUAAGUCCUUAAGGGCUAUUUUUGUAAAUGCUUUGAUUGCAAAAUAUAAGACACAUACAGAAAAGUGGAUUUUUAAAAAGUACCGCUCAGUAAUUUAUCACCAAGUGAAUAUCCAUGAAACCACCACUUGGUCAAGAGGAACAUUACCACCUCCCCAGAAGCCCCUCCUGUACUCUAGCCAAUCCUCCUCCCCAAAGAAAACCACCAUUCUGACCUUUAUGGCAAAUACUCUUGCUCUCCUUGAUAGUUUUGCCAUCUCUACACACAAUAGUUGGGUUCAGUUCGUGCUUGAUAAAUCCAAUCAAGUAGCAGGUCCUCUUUUGGGUCCGGCUUCUUGCAUUUUACAUUCUGUUUGUGAGAUUCCCCAUGCUGUUGUAGGAAGCAAUCGUUGGCUCAAAUUUUCUUAGCUGUAUCAUAUUCCAUUUUAUGAGUACACCAUCAUUUAUGUGUCUGUUCAACUAUUGAUGGAAUGGGCUUUUUAAAAAGCCAUGUACCUAAAGAUAGGUUGAUUAAAAUAUUUCUGAUAAAAUGCACAUUUAAAAUGCAACUCAACACAUAUUAGUUUAAUUUCAUCCCUAGGAUCCUCAUUCCCUUUUCUGCUCCAAUAAGUCAUGAAGACAGCUUGGGUCUCAGAAGAAAAUAGGCCGUUUAAGCAGAAGCCCAGAGGGAACACAUCUGAGAGAUGCCCACACCCUCAUGGGGUCCUCUCAUCAGCCCUUCUCCCCAAAUUUUCAGCCUCAAAUGGGGGAGGUCACACAGAUGGAGAGAAACCACUCUCUCCCUUCCACCCGAGGUCUGCAGAUUCCUGACACACAUACGAGUGCACACCCAGGCAGACAGGCAAGAGCGUGGCCCCCACACAUGAGCACACACACGGGCACCUAGGCAUAUCCCAGAAGUGGCAAUGCCUGCUGGCACCUGACCAGCAGGCGAGGUCUGUGCACAGAGAAGUUGUGGAAGAAGAGGAGGGGAAAGCGUGGGGGAAAAAUCCCCUCAUUUCUGAAGAAAUGUCCCAGAUUAGAUUUGUAAAUCAAAAACCAAUAUAUAACAUGCAAGAAUUGAUCUGUUUUAUAUUCCUCAGUUACAUUUUUGUGAAGCACAUUUAGAAGAUUUAGAACGUAUUUGCGCCUGCUGGUUGGGCCAUUAUAUGCUUGAGUUCAUACAUCUAUUUGUGAGGCUAUAAAACAGGCAUCGACUACCAUGUAAAUUGUGUUCUCCACAAUAAAUUAUAUGCAUACUUGCAAAAAUACAUAACUGCCGUGCCUGGGCCAACGCGGCCAGAAUACUAAUGAGGGCGAAAGUUGCUUUGUCCCUCUUCUCCGGCCUAAUUUAGCCUCUACAUCAAAAAUUAUGUAGGAAAAAUCACUUUAUCCUCUCACUGAGAAAUAAAAUAGCACUCAUGGGUACCCUCAUCUCUUCCCACCCCCCUUCCUUUUAACCGAACACUACCAUUUUCAUACUAAUUUUAGCUGCUCCAGGUUUACGGGGAGGAAGGCUGGCUGAGCUGAAGCUGGGGUGCCAGCGGGCUGCCUGGAUGUAUGAGAAGGCUGUGGGAGUGGGCAUGUGCAUGCACACACUCACACACACACAUGCAUACACACGUAGGCACAUUCCCUCCGUGUGGUUUGAAUUCGCUUGUGCCAGGGCAUGUUCACAGCAUGCACACAGACCUACAUGUAAAUGUGAAGACUCACCCCAGACACGCAUGCACAGACACUCCACGAGCAUUUGCCCACGUGGCGCAGAUUCAUUCCCUCUCCCCGGUACAGACUCCUAUGCACAGAGACACACUGGGGAAAUUCAGUUCAGUUCGGUUCAAUUCAGUUCAAACAGGUCAGUCCAGCAAACACUGACUGAGCACCUAUUAGAUGCCAUGUGCUGUACUUGGCAUUGGGACUACGGAGAUUUUUUUUUAAAAAAGGCAGAAUCUCAGCUUAUAGCUCAGGGGAAGAGGCAGCUUUAGGAACAAAUGCAGACAAGUCAGUAUGCUGAGGGCUGUAGCAGAGACAGAGAGCAUACAGGUACACACACUCACGCCCUGGUCAUUGUCAGUGUGCAUAUUUUCCAGUACUCAUAUGUGCACACACAGAUGCACACAGAGUCCCUGCACUUACACAGGCACAUACCUCACACCACAUGGACUCACGUGUGCAUGCACAACACACACAUACACACACCGGUACACUCAAGCAUCAGCAUAGCCACCCUCCCACUGACACCGCAUGCUGGUGCCUGCCUCACCUCUGUCUUUCCUGCAAGCCCAAGUUAACUUCACGCCCUGUCUGGCUUGCCCUUUCUUGGGUUCUGUUGCUGUCUAUCCUGGAAGCAGAGCCACUUCCAACAGCAGGCUGGCUAGUGUUGCUCCCACUUCUCCCAGGGGCCUGCCCAAGGUUCCAUCUUGCUGGGAGCUUCCGCAGGCUCACAAGAGGAAGGAGAAGUAGACACAGGAAGAUCUCAUUUCCAUGACCUCAGGCCAGUCCGUGCCCUGUCCCAGGCCUCAGUUUACUCCUUUUCUUUUUCUUUUUUCCUUUCUUUUUUUUUUUUUUUUUUUUUUGAGAUGGAGUCUCACUCUGUCACCCAGGCUGGAGUGCAGUGGCGUGAUCUCUGCUCACUGCAACCUCCACCUCCCAGGUUCAAGCAAUUCUCGUGCCUCAGCCUCCCGAGUAGCUGGAACUACAGGUGUGCACCACUACAUCUAGCUGCCUUUUUUGUAUUUUUAGUAGAGACAGGGUUUCACCAUGUUUGCCAGGCUGGUCUCCAACUCCUGACCUCAGGUGAUCCGCCCGUGUUGGCCUCCCAAAAUGCUGGGAUUACAGGCGUAAGCCACCGUGCGCCCGGCCUACCCAUUUUUAAAAUGUGGGAAUUGGAUGGUCUCUGAGGCCAUCAGGCUCCAGAUGUCCACAGUUUGUGCUGAAGAAGGUGGCGCCUCAGUCCAAGUCAGAGAGUGUGAGACAACUGCAGAGACGCCCCCAACCUGGAGGCAUCUCGGCCCCGCUCCGAGCUCCCAGCCUAAGAGAAGCGUUUGACCUCAGGGGCAGGCCUCAUGAGGGCAGGAGAAGUCAUGUCCUGGAGAAAAGGAGUGGCAAGAUGUGGUAGGGGAGAGAAGACUUGGUGCAAGAGGGCCAGCUGGGAUAUUUAUAGGUGCCAGCCACGGUUCUAGGGGAAUUUCAUUCUAUCUUCAAACACCUGAAGGGCUGCCGUGGGGCAGAGGGAAAGGACUUCCUCUGCAUGACCCAGUUGGUAGAACUAGGACAGUGGGAAAGUGGUGGAGGCUGCAAGGAGACAGACAGCCUUUAGUUGAAUACAGUGAUCAGCGUGAUUUCUCCGUGCGUGCACCCGCCUACCAGCAUGCGUGGUGUACAUUCUGCUGCUGUGUAUUCCGUCUCCUUGCAGCCCUUUCUUUCCUCUGCUCCCUAUAGCUCAUCCUAUGGCUUUUCAUACCGUACUAUUUUCUCUUUAUCUCAGCUUGUUCUUGGAGUAGAAAAUAUGUUCUUUUUAAAAACGAAAAUCAGAUUUUUAUUGAGGAAAAAAUAUUAAGUUCACAUGAUGAAAAAUUCAAAUUGGUCAAAGGAUGUAUGGCGAAAAGAAGGUCUCUCUCUCUGGCUGCCCAGGCUCCUCCGGCUGCCCAGGCUCCUCCGGCUCAUCGUCAUCCAGCUUCCUUCUCCAGAAACAACCACUGUUACCAAUUGUUAUGUGUUUUUUCAGAAAUAUACUGUGCGUGCAAGCAUCUCUCUCUGUCUGUUGAUCUGUCCUUUAUUUAACACAAAUGUGAGCAUACCAUGUGCCCUGAUCCUUGCCUCCCCUCCCCUCCCCUCAUCCCAACCUAACUACGUAGCUUGGAAGGUGUUUCUGAGGAAAAGUUCUCCAUUGGGCGAUAUCUGACAAUGAAAUGGGCUAACGAGCUCUCAACACUGGGGAUGUGGAGGCACAGGCUAGAUGACCACUUGGGGAAAGAAAAAUGGGAGAGUUGGGCCCUUCCUUGGAGGAGGAAGGUUAGACUCAUGCCGUCUAAGGCCCUUUCCAUGAACCAGCUGCUUGGAUACAAAGAGAACAGCUCUCUUUAUCUUGCGUUCUUCCCAUUUUUCCCCACUCCCUCCCAGCGCCCCACAAGCUGGGCCAGGGUCACCAGUGUUUAAAGCCGCCCAGCCUUGGCUUCCAGCCCUUGUGUAAUUGACAAGAAUUCCCCCCCUCCCUAAGAGAUGGCCUCUCUCUGUGCCAGCCACAUGCCACUAAACUCCAAAUUAAGAGGCCCAGCUGAGAUUUCUGUCUUAUUCCACCCAUACUCCUGGGGCCAAUCCUCUCUCAUUUCAGGAGGGGAAUGGAACUCAGUUUGGAUUUGGGAAGGGGGGUAGAGGGGGCUCGCCACCAAAGCUGGUGCCUCUAUGCUCCAGAGAGAUGUGCGUGUCCUACCAUGCGGCUUAAGACUUCUCCAAAACACCGUCCCCCCAAAUCCAAUAAAAUUGCAAAUUUCACUGUAUUUCACAAUAUCCUAAAUAAACAUGAACAGC